rnacentral:misc_RNA from 1 species
GAACGCACCUUGCACCCUUUGGUAUUCCGAAGGGUACACCCGUUUGAGUGUCAUUGUAAUCUCACUUCAACAUCUUUUUGUUGAAUGUGGACUUGGAUGUUGCCGUGUCAUUACGGCUCGUCUCAAAUGCCUGAGUGUACCUUGCUUUUGCAGUGUAUCCGGUGUAAUAAACAUUUCACCAGAGCCAGGUCGCAAGACCGCAUUGUCUAGUGAGCUCUAUGCUUUCAAACCGUCUUUGGACAAUCUUUGACAAUUUGACCUCAAAUCGGGUGGGACUACCCGCUGAACUUAAG